rnacentral:rRNA from 1 species
GAUGAACGCUGGCGGCGUGCCUAAUACAUGCAAGUCGAGCGAACGGACGAGAAGCUUGCUUCUCUGAUGUUAGCGGCGGACGGGUGAGUAACACGUGGAUAACCUACCUAUAAGACUGGGAUAACUUCGGGAAACCGGAGCUAAUACCGGAGAAUAUUUUGAACCGCAUUGUGCAAAAGUGAAAGACGGUCUUUCUGUCACUUAUAGAUGGAUCCGCGCUGCAUUAGCUAGUUGGUAAGGUAACGGCUUACCAAGGCAACGAUGCAUAGCCGACCUGAGAGGGGGAUAGGCCACACUGGAACUGAGACACGGUCCAGACUCCUACGGGACGCAGCAGUAGGCAAUCUUCCGCAAUGGGCGAAAGCCUGACGGAGCAACGCCGCGUGAGUGAUGAAGGUCUUCGGAUCGUAAAGCUCUGUUAUUAGGGAAGAACAUAUGUGUACGUAACUGUGCACAUCUUGACGGUACCUAAUCAGAAAGCAACGGCUAACUACGUG